CGAAGAAGUACGAGAGAAAGAGGAAGAGGAAGAGGAAGAAGAAGACAUGGCGACUCUUUGUGGAUAUCAAGAUCGGGAAGAAUGAGGCUUAGUUUCGCGAAGCUAUUCAGCCGCCUCUUUGCGAAGAAUGAGAUGCGGAUCCUGAUGGUGGGGCUUGAUGUCGCUGGUAAGACGACCAUCUUAUACAAGCUCAAGCUCGGGGAGAUCGUCACCACCAUACCCACCAUCGAUUUUUCAAGUUCUUGGAAGAGAGUUUCCUGUUGACGGUUCAACCAAAUUCUUCUAAUUCGGCUUAUAGAUGAUCACAUUCAUCUAAAGUUUUUGAAAUUAUUUCUUGCAUAUAUAUUAUCGCAAAUUACAAUUAUGGUCUUGGAUACUGCUUUUAUGCAUUUAUAGCACUAGAAGUGGAGAUAAUUUUUUUUCCCGAGUGCAACUUUUAAAAAAGUCGGAUAACAUGCUUGUCAACUUUUUGUCCCUCUUAUGAUGGAAAUUGAGUUUUGUUGUUUAGCAUAUUGUGUAAAUUUUAUGACCAUAUUGUUAGAAAAAGAAGUCCAGUAACAGUGUUGUAUAUCUACUCUAUACACUUGUUAACCACGUCCAUUAAUACAGGGUUUAACGUUGAGACUGUAGAGUAUAAAAAUAUUAGCUUCACCGUCUGGGAUGUUGGUGGUCAGGAUAAGGUACAUCCAUAGAUCUCUAAAAUUUUUCUUAUUAUGCAUGAUAAAUGGCUAAUUUUUGCCUUCUUAGAAUGUACCUGUUUUAAUGAUGCAGACAAGUGUUGAGUUAGGAAAAUAGGUGUAAUAAUUGACAUUGAAUAAUUUAAUGACACUGAAAUAUACUAUUUCUGAUCGUUAAUUAAGAAAAUUAAACACUACUAAAAUUUCUUUUAAUGUAUAAAA